rnacentral:rRNA from 1 species
UGCCUACGGGGGGCAGCAGUGGGGAAUAUUGCACAAUGGGGGAAACCCUGAUGCAGCAACGCCGCGUGAGUGAAGAAGUCAUUCGUGAUGUAAAGCUCUAUCAGCAGGGAAGAAAAUGACGGUACCUGAGUAAGAAGCCCCGGCUAACUACGUGCCAGCAGCCGCGGUAAUACGUAGGGGGCAAGCGUUAUCCGGAUUCACUGGGUGUAAAGGGAGCGCAGGCGGUACGGCGAGUCUGAUGUGAAAACCCGGGGCCCAACCCCGGGACCGCACCGGAUACUGCCGGACGCGAGUGCCGGAGGGGG